GCCCGGUUAGCUCAGUCGGUAGAGCAUGAGGCUCUUAACCUCAGGGUCGUGGGUUCGAGCCCCACAUCGGGCG
rfam:Tetranychus urticae London genomic scaffold, scaffold_10